UUCUCCGUGGCGCAAUUGGCUAGCGCGUUCGACUGUUAGGAUGCAAUCGAGAGGUUGACAGUUCAAGCCUGUCCGGGGAAG